GGUCAAGCUACUAAGGGCAUAUGGUGGAUGCCUUGGUGCUACCAGGCGAAGAAGGGCGUGGUAAGCUGCGAUAAGCUCCGGUAAGCCGCUAACAGGUUUUGACCCGGAGAUUCCCGAAUGGGGAAACCUGUUACAGAUAAUUCUGUAACACCUUUUGCUGAAAAUUUAGAUUAGGCAAAAGGGGCGAACCAGGGGAACUGAAACAUCUAAGUACCCUGAGGAAAAUAAAGCAAAAGCGAUUCCCUGAGUAGUGGCGAGCGAAACGGGAACAGCCUAAACCGAAAAGAUGGAUAAGCACGUGUGCGUUGUCUUUUCGGGGUAGAUGGGCCUCAUUGGGCUAGGACACGGAACUAGCCAGAGAGUCAGAAAGAUAGAUCAUAGCUGAACGGUCUGGAAUGGCCGACCAGAGAUGGUGACAGUCCAGUAAGCGAAAUGAUCUAUCCUCUCUGAAUGAGGUACCUAAGUACUACGGGACACGUGAAACCCUGUAGGAAUCAAGGAGGACCACCUCCUAAGGCUAAAUACUAGGUAGCAACCGAUAGUGAACUAGUACCGUGAGGGAAAGGUGAAAAGCACUCCUGUGAGGAGAGUGAAAAAGAACCUGAAACCAUAUGCCUACAAGCGAUGGAAGCACUAUGGAGAGAGUGGAUUACACUUUCUCCAGUGUGACUGUGUGCCUUUUGUAUAAUGAGCCGGCGAGUUUCUCUAUGUAGCAAGGUUAAGCUUAUAAAAAGCGGAGCCGUAGCGAAAGCAAGUCUUAAUAGGGCGAUUAGUUGCAUGGAGUAGACCCGAAACCGAGUGAGCUACCCAUGGCCAGGGUAAAGCAGGUGUAAAAACCUGUGGAGGUCCGAACCCACUAAGGUUGAAAACUUGGGGGAUGAGUUGUGGGUAGGGGUGAAAGGCCAAUCAAACUCGGAGAUAGCUGGUUCUCCCCGAAAUAUAUUGAGGUAUAGCCUUGCAGAAUGAGUUAUGGCGGUAGAGCACUGGAUGGACUAGGGGCUUUAACAAGCUACCAAACCCAACUAAACUCCGAAUGCCAUAAACUUUUACUGCAGGAGUCAGACUAUGGGGGAUAAGCUCCAUGGUCAAAAGGGAAAGAGCCCAGACCGCCAGCUAAGGUCCCAAAAUAUAGACUAAGUGGUAAAGGUUGUGGGGGCACAAAGACAACCAGGAGGUUGGCUUAGAAGCAGCCAUCCUUUAAAGAAAGCGUAAUAGCUCACUGGUCAAGUGAACCUGCGCCGAAAAUUUAACGGGGCUUAAGUCUAUUACCGAAGCUGCGGAAGGAUGAUCCCCUUAAUGCUCAUAGCCCUUAAUUUAUACCCUUAGAAAGUUAGGUUAUAAGUUAGGAGACAUGAGUAAAGUAAGGUGUCAUCCUUGGUAGGGGAGCGUUCUAUACCAGAAACAAGCUAGACCGUGAGGACUAGUCUAGGGGUAUAGAAGUGAGUAUGCCGGUAUAAGUAGCGAUAAAAUAGGUGAGAAACCUAUUCGCCGAAAACCUAAGGGUUCCUGAGGAAGGGUAAUCCGCUCAGGGUAAGUCGGUCCCUAAGCUGAGGCUGAAAAGCGUAGGUGAUGGGAAACAGGUUAAUAUUCCUGUACCACCGCGUUAGCGUUUGAGUGAUGAGGUGACGCAGGAAGGUAGGCCAUCCUGCUGCUGGAAUAGCAGGUUCAAGCCUGUAGGUGGAGAGGACAGGCAAAUCCAUCCUCUUAUCUAACACCGAGAGGUGAUGAGGAGUCCGUAAGGACACAAACUGGUUGAUCCUAUACUGCCAAGAAAUAACCUCUAGCGAGUUGACGAGGUGACCGUACCGUAAACCGACACAGGUGGGUGAGGAGAGAAUCCUAAGGCGCUUGAGUGAUCUCUCGUUAAGGAACUCGGCAAUUUAACUCCGUAACUUCGGGAGAAGGAGUGCCCUUGGUAGGUAAACCAGCUAGCCUGGUAAGCCGAGAAGGGUUGCAGUGAACAGGCCCAGGCGACUGUUUAUUAAAAACACAGGUCUCUGCAAAGUCGUAAGACGAAGUAUAGGGACUGACGCCUGCCCGGUGCUGGAAGGUUAAGGGGAGGGGUUAGCCGCAAGGCGAAGCUCUAAACCGAAGCCCCAGUAAACGGCGGCCGUAACUAUAACGGUCCUAAGGUAGCGAAAUUCCUUGUCGGGUAAGUUCCGACCUGCACGAAUGGCGUAACGACUUGGGCGCUGUCUCAACGAGGGGCUCAGCGAAAUUGUAGUAGCGGUGAAGAUGCCGGUUACCCGCGACAAGACGGAAAGACCCCGUGCACCUUUACUAUAACCUGGUAUUGGGUUUUGGCUUAGUAUGUGUAGGAUAGGUGGGAGACGGAGAAGCUAGGGCGCUAGCCUUAGUAGAGUCAUCCUUGAAAUACCACCCUUAUUAAGUCGAAAUUCUAACUUUAGUCCGUUAUCCGGAUUGAGGACAGUGCCAGGCGGGUAGUUUGACUGGGGCGGUUGCCUCCUAAAAAGUAACGGAGGCGCCCAAAGGUUCCCUCAGGCUGAAUGGAAACCAGCCAUCGAGUGUAAAGGCAUAAGGGAGCUUGACUGCGAGACUGACAAGUCGAGCAGGUGCGAAAGCAGGGCUUAGUGAUCCGGCGGUUCCGUGUGGAAGGGCCGUCGCUCAACGGAUAAAAGGUACGCCGGGGAUAACAGGCUUAUCUCCCCCAAGAGUUCACAUCGACGGGGAGGUUUGGCACCUCGAUGUCGGCUCAUCGCAUCCUGGGGCUGGAGCAGGUCCCAAGGGUUGGGCUGUUCGCCCAUUAAAGCGGUACGCGAGCUGGGUUUAGAACGUCGUGAGACAGUUCGGUCCCUAUCUGUCGUGGGCGUUAGGAUAUUUGAGAGGAGCUGUCCCUAGUACGAGAGGACCGGGAUGGACGAACCUCUGGUGUACCAGUUGUCCCGCCAGGGGCAUUGCUGGGUAGCUAUGUUCGGAAGGGAUAACCGCUGAAGGCAUCUAAGCGGGAAGCCCACCUCAAGAUGAGAUAUCCCGUAUGGCUUAGCCAUCCUUAAGACCCCUGGAAGAUUACCAGGUUGAUAGGCCAGAUGUGUAAGCAUAGUAAUAUGUUUAGCUAACUGGUACUAAUCGGUCGUGAGGCUUGGCCAU
rnacentral:rRNA from 1 species